rnacentral:rRNA from 1 species
AUUGAACGCUGGCGACAGGCUUAACACAUGCAAGUCGAGCGAGCGGCGGACGGGUGAGUAAUGUCUGGGAAACUGCCUGAUGGAGGGGGAUAACUACUGGAAACGGUAGCUAAUACCGCAUACCAUCAGAUGUGCCCAGAUGGGAUUAGCUCGUAGGUGGGGUAAUGGCUCACCUAGGCGACGAUCCCUAGCUGGUCUGAGAGGAUGACCAGCCACGCUGGAACUGUGACUCGGUCCAAACUCCUACGAGAGGCAGCAGUGGGGAAUAUUGCACGAUGGGCGCAAGCCUGAUGCAGCCAGGCCGCGUGUGUGAAGAAGGCCUUCGGGUUGUAAAGCACUUUCAGCGAGGAGGCGUUACUCGCAGAAGAAGCAACGGCUAACUCCGUGCCAGCCGCCGCGGUAAUAC